rnacentral:piRNA from 1 species
UCCGCAUAGACCUUCCUUGUCCUGAUGGGA